UACAGAGGUCCCAAGCGUUGUCCGGAAUCAUUGGGCGUAAAGCGCGUGUAGGCGGUCCGGUAAGUCCGCUGUGAAAGUCGGGGGCUCAACCCUCGGAUGCCGGUGGAUACUGUCGGGCUUGAGUACGGAAGAGGCGAGUGGAAUUCCUGGUGUAGCGGUGAAAUGCGCAGAGUAUCAGGAGGAACACCAAUUGCGAAGGCAGCUCGCUGGGACGUUACUGACGCUGAGACGCGAAAGCGUGGGGAGCAAACAGG
rnacentral:rRNA from 1 species